GGCUAUAUGUUCUGAACAAUGUGCUGAUGUCCGUAUCAGGGAAGUCGUCCCAGCUUUACUCGCACAGCCUGCCAGCUCUGUUUGAACAGAAAGGACAUCUGCACAAGAAACACAGCAGCCUGUCGCUCAGCACCAACCGCCUCACUGAGCGGAUCAGUCUCAGAAAGUUUACCAUAUCUGUAAAGAUUCCUGACACUAAAGGUUGUAGGAGGUGCAGUGUAG